UCUGGUUAUAAUAGUAGAGAGGAUACACCUGUUCCCAUUCCGAACACAGAAGUUAA
rnacentral:rRNA from 1 species